AAGCGUGCGCAGGCGGUUAUGUAAGACAGAUGUGAAAUACCCCGGGCUCAACCUGGGAACUGCAUUUGUGACUGUAUAGCUGGAGUGCGGCAGAGGGGGAUGGAAUUCCGCGUGUAGCAGUGAAAUGCGUAGAUAUGCGGAGGAACACCGAUGGCGAAGGCAAUCCCCUGGGCCUGCACUGACGCUCAUGCACGAAAGCGUGGGGAGCAAACAGGAUUAGAUACCCUUGU
rnacentral:rRNA from 1 species